GAUGAACGCUGGCGGCGUGCUUAACACAUGCAAGUCGAACGAUAAAGCCCAGCUUGCUGGGUGGAUUAGUGGCGAACGGGUGAGUAACACGUGAGUAACCUACCCUUGACUCUGGGAUAAGCCCGGGAAACUGGGUCUAAUACCGGAUAGGAGCGCCUGUCGCAUGACGGGUGUUGGAAAGAUUUUUCGGUCAUGGAUGGACUCGCGGCCUAUCAGCUUGUUGGUGAGGUAAUGGCUCACCAAGGCGACGACGGGUAGCCGGCCUGAGAGGGUGACCGGCCACACUGGGACUGAGACACGGCCCAGACUCCUACGGGAGGCAGCAGUGGGGAAUAUUGCACAAUGGGCGGAAGCCUGAUGCAGCGACGCCGCGUGAGGGAUGACGGCCUUCGGGUUGUAAACCUCUUUCAGUAGGGAAGAAGCGAAAGUGACGUACCUGCAG
rnacentral:rRNA from 1 species